rnacentral:tRNA from 1 species
GCCGCCUUAGCUCAGCAGGUUAGAGCGCUUGAUUGUGGAUCAAGAGGUCCCCCGUUCAAGUCGGGGAGGCGGUACCA